rnacentral:lncRNA from 1 species
CAUUUCAGAUAGGAUGAAAAAUGAAUCCAUCCAAAGGGAACAUUCCUUCCCCACCCACCACCGAACCUACUUAAUAGGGUAGAAAUGCCCCCCGCUUAUGUAAGUUCCCUCCUUCCGAGAAUAAGUAUUUCGGUGGGAAGACUCCUGCCUGGAGGCAGUAAGGUUUGUUUAGUUUUAGUUUAGGCUGCAAAAGACCUAUGAUAAAAGUGUUCAAUUUUUAAUUAUAACGCUUAAAUUUUAAUUUUUAAUAAUUUUAAACACAAAAAAUUUGCAUGGAUGAUCCUAAAACAACAAUGCAAUUAUCAAUUUUGCAAUAUAAAACUAAAAAGACCUAAUAUUUUUUUCAUUACAUGUAUUGUUUUUUUAUAUAAUUUUUAGCAUU